UUCCGGUUGAUCCUGCCGGACCUGACUGCUAUCGGAUUGAUACUAAGCCAUGCGAGUCUUUGCAGUAAUGCAAGGCAUACGGCUCAGUAACACGUAGUCAACUUACCCUAUGGACGAGGAUAAUCUCGGGAAACUGAGCAUAAUACUCGAUAGAUCAUAAUGCCUGGAAUGGUUUAUGGUUAAAAUGAUUCGUCGCCAUAGGAUGGGACUGCGGCCUAUCAGCUUGUUGGUGAGGUAAUGGCCCACCAAGGCGAUUACAGGUACGGGCUCUGAGAGGAGAAGCCCGGAGAUGGGUACUGAGACAAGGACCCAGGCCCUAUGGGGCGCAGCAGGCGAGAAAACUUUGCAAUGUGCGAAAGCACGACAAGGUUAGUCCGAGUGAUUUCUGCUAAAGAGAUCUUUUGCUAGUUAUAAAACCACUAGUGAAUAAGGGGUGGGCAAGUUCUGGUGUCAGCCGCCGCGGUAAAACCAGCACCUCAAGUGGUCAGGAUGAUUAUUGGGCCUAAAGCAUCCGUAGCCGGCUCUGUAAGUUUUCGGUUAAAUCUAUGCGCUCAACGUAUGGGCUGCCGAAAAUACUGCAGAGAUAGGGAGUGGGAGAGGUAGACGGUACUCGGUAGGAAGGGGUAAAAUCCUUUGAUCUAUCGAUGACCACCUGUGGCGAAGGCGGUCUACCAGAACACGUUCGACGGUGAGGGAUGAAAGCUGGGGGAGCAAACCGGAUUAGAUACCCGGGUAGUCCCAGCUGUAAACGAUGCAGACUCGAUGAUGCAUUGGCAUAUAGCCAGUGCAGUGUCGCAGGGAAGCCGUUAAGUCUGCCGCCUGGGAAGUACGUACGCAAGUAUGAAACUUAAAGGAAUUGGCGGGGGAGCACCACAAGGGGUGAAGCCUGCGGUUCAAUUGGAUUCAACGCCGGG
rnacentral:rRNA from 1 species